rnacentral:rRNA from 1 species
UACGUGCCAGACUGGAACCGGGAGAGGUAAGAGGUACUACAGGGGUAGGAGUGAAAUCUUGUAAUCCCUGUGGGAACCACCUGUGGCGAAGGCGUCUUACCAGAACGGGUUCGACGGUGAGGGACGAAAGCUGGGGGCACGAACCGGAUUAGAUACCCGGGUAGUCCCAGCCGUAAACGAUGCUCGCUAGGUGUCAGGCAUGGCGCGACCGUGUCUGGUGCCGCAGGGAAGCCGUGAAGCGAGCCACCUGGGAAGUACGGCCGCAAGGCUGAAACUUAAAGGAAUUGGCGGGGAGCACAACAACGGGUGGAAGCCUGCGGUUUAAUUGGACUCAAACGCCGGACAACUCACCGGGGGCGACAAGCAAUAUGUAGGCCAAGCUGAAGACUUUGCCUGAAUCCGCUGAGGGGUGGUGCAUGG